GACGAACGCUGGCGGCGCGCCUAACACAUGCAAGUCGAACGGAGCGCUUCUGAAAGAGGAUUCGUCCAAUUGAGGAAGCUGCUUAGUGGCGGACGGGUGAGUAACGCGUGAGGAACCUGCCUCGGAGUGGGGAAUAACAGUUAGAAAUGACUGCUAAUACCGCAUAAUACAGUUGGGCCGCAUGGCUCUGACUGUCAAAGAUUUAUCGCUCUGAGAUGGUCUCGCGUCUGAUUAGCUAGUUGGUGAGGUAAUGGCCCACCAAGGCGACGAUCAGUAGCCGGUCUGAGAGGAUGAACGGCCACAUUGGGACUGAGAUACGGCCCAG
rnacentral:rRNA from 1 species